CUUUGAAGUAGCGUAAACUUUGAAAUAAACGAAUAGAACCUUAGGGUCACCGAGAUAUCCCGCAUGACCGAGAUCUCAGAUAUUUGCGGAAGAACGCUGAAAAUUGAAAUCGUGUUUAUAUGGUGCAUAUUCAUCUCGCCCCGGUUACAACGGGAAACUCGGUCAACCGAGAUCCCGGGCAAGUGAGCCGGGACCCCGGUCAAACGGGAUGGAUAUUUGUUCAUGUAAACAGAAAAACCCGGUGGCAAAGUACGGAAAAAGUUUAUGUAAUCUUAGAGGAGCAAGUAAUUAUCACUUUUAAUGCAUAUCAAUGGACAUAUUUGUUUUUGUAUCAUAGUGUAUUUGUAAUAAAAGACAACAAAACCAUGAAACAUGCUUAAAACACCAGGUUUCACUAACAUUACAAUUGAGAAUGAUCUAAGAUUAACUUUUAAUCAUGUUUCAAGCGUGUGGGAGAUGUUAAUGAAUAAUAUUUAAAUUGGUCAGAAAUGAUGGUAAUUUUCAAAAAGUUUGAGAAAUAAUUAAUAGUGAUAACACAGUUGUUUCAAGCAUCAACAGUAUCGCUAUCUUCUUUUUUUCUGUUGUUGGAAGCCAUAUUUGCUUACAUAUUCACCCCGCCACUUUUAGUUUCCCCCAAACUUUUCUUCGUAUAAACCCGGGAUGGGAAAUGACAAAUUUACAUAUAAACCCGAGUUAAUAUUAACCCGCUCUACCGGGAAAUUUGUUGGGCGAGUUUCUCGGUUCUCAUAUAAAAAGGCCCUUAAAAGCCAGGCUUGUGAUAUCAGACUGUCAUGGCGGCGAACAUAGAAAACUAUGAGUGAGUAUCACCGUGUACCUGACACCGAUGCGAUGAUGGUAGUGAUCUAAAAGAAUCUUUUAAUUAAUUAUACAUUCUUGCAUUACAUGGCUGUAAAAAUAACUUUUUUGAUAAUGUUGAUAGCUAGCUAGAUCAAUUUCCAUGCUGGACUCGUCACUUGAACACUGAAGCCUACCACACCCUGGAGGUGGCUAGCUAUGUAAUGUUGUUAACACAGGCUGUAAUUUCCCAAACAAUAAUUCUACGUUGCACUGCUGCUGACUAUCUAUUCCUAAAAUUGUCUUGUAAUGUAAUUUUUUGUUGUAUUAUUAGCUAUUAGACUUAAUGCACAUUUUAAAAUAAAGUAACUCCCCAACUUGUCGAAUUUGUAACUCAAAAAUUUAGCACUCACAAAUAUGUAAACAAAAACUGAUAUUUUUAAAAAAUUGUUUUAUAUUUUGGGCCUAGUGUGAUGUCGUUCUGCAAAGUUUUAGGUGAAAAUUUACCAUUUUUAUGUGAAAAAAAACAAUUUUGUAUAACCGUAUGAAUAUUUUUAAUAUGAAGCAUUCUUAGUCUUUUUUAGGACUUUUUUGUUGUGAUAGAUGAAACAUGUAAAUUGAUUUAUUAUAGAGCUGAUUAUACCAGCGGUUUGGUCUUUAAAAUCAAUACAGCCAUCAUAAACUGUUAUUUCGCAGCCGUGCCGUGAACAAUACAAUAGUUUAAUUUUUUUUGUUUUUAGAUAGUUAGAAUGUAGAUAAAUUGUGCACUAUUUGUAAACUAAUGAAACACUAAAUCACUGAGGUAUGAAAUAUUUGUGAGUUAUAUAAGAACGGAAAAUGCCGUACUUACAUAAAAAUGCAAUUUAUACUUUAUAAAAUAUAAUGUUAUGUUGUCUUGUGCCGAAUUUUAUUCUGCUUUUUUUCUCACACACGCUUUCAUAAAACAGUACUCUUAUGCGGCAUACCGGAAAAGUAGAGCGCGGGACGCAGGACCUUGUUGAGUAAAAAUAUUAUUUACACCAUUAUGUCACGAGCCGACAUUUUGCUGCACCAGCUAUAUAUCUCCCCAGGGUAUUUUUCACAUACACGUGUUCUAUUAUUCAAGGUGUUGAAACAAUCAAAUGAAUUUUUUGAGCUAUGAAUCCAGGUGUGUUAAGUUUCCAAGUUGUAGGGUUGUAGCAGAUUAUAAAGAUUGUUUUAGUGUUGUUAAUAGCAAACAUUAAAAUUACAGAAAAAAUAAACACUUCACGGUCAUAUACUUAUUUUUUAUUACCACAAAUUUAUAAGAAAAAUGAGCCUAAAAUUUUCUGAAAAAAUAGAACAGAAUAAGAACAUAAGACUGAAAUUUCACUGAUUUGCUCUUUUUUCUUGAGAAAAACACACUAGUUAAUUUUAAUACGAGAUAAAAUCUAGACAAAUUUUACUAUGUCAGAGGUCAGAUUUUUAAAUGCUGAAAGUGUUUGCUGCAUUUUCUGUGCAGAAAUGCGAACUCAGCUGUUGAAAAAUGGCUAAUGCAGAAAAGUGCUUUGGCAAGUUAUGGCUUAAGGACUGUGUGAUAGAUAUGAGAGAUAAAGGGAUGAGGGAGAAAGAAGUUAAACUCAUUUAUGAAAUGAACAAAGAACCCAGAAUUGUGGUGGAUACUCCAGCUGGUUUAAUAAAAGAGGUACGGGUGGAAAAAAUAGUAAAGCAAGGAACUGUAUUUGGCUCGGUAUUGUGUUUUCACCAACGUUAGCAGUAAAAGCAUAUGGCUUCGUGGAUGGCAUAAUACGGUCACAUAGGAGGAGCAGGGAGAAAUCUGAGCGCAAUGGAGAUCAAAAAGAAAUGCACAUUCAAUAAUACCAACGGGAAAAGCCAUUGCAUAGUGAUUAAACAGGGAGAGAGUCAGUAGAAGGAGUGAAAGUGAAAGUUAAAAAGAACGCAUAGAGGAAACAAAAGAGAAUAAAUAUUUGGGAAAUGACAUAACAACUACUGGGACCGUGGAAAGACAACUAGAAGAGGCUGAGAGGAAAAGUAAAGCGAUGAUUGAAGAGGCAAAGAGAAUAGCAGACAGAGGGAAAUGUGGAGAAAAAAGCACAGAUGCGAUAAUUCUCAUGUACGAGAAAACGAUAGUACCAGGAAUCUUGUAUAAUUUGGAAACAUGGAGAAAAUGGAGGAAGAAUGACUAGGAAGAACGAAGGUAUAGGCUCGUGCACUGAAGAAUAUGUUGCGAAUGUCAAUCUUAACACUAUACUGGGGAAUUAUCAAUGAAUAGGGAAUGUGGACAAUGAAGGCGAGGGUGGUGUGUAAAAGAAUGGUGCUGCUGCUGCAGAACAUUAUGAGCUCAAAUGAACGAGAAAGAGUAUGCAAGAGUGUAAUAUUAGAAUAGUAAAGUCAAGGAUGGAAAUAAACUGGUAUAGAGAAGUAGAACAAGAUGGAAAUGAUUAUAGAAUAGAUGUACAGCGCGUUGAAAAAUAUAAAGAAAUCGCAGUGGAAAAAAUUGGUAAAGAAACAGAUCUAGAGAAAGAUGGAAAAAGAAUCAGAUGAGAAAAAAAGGAAUAUGAGUAAGCUGAAAAGUCAAGUAAGGCAAAAAACAAGGAAACAUAAUGAAAAAGGAGACAAAAGAGUUAUCAGAUAGAAUAAAAACAAAACUGAGAAUGUGGAAUAUAGGAAAAAUAUGAGAGCAAAGAUAGCAUGCUUUGGAUGUGGAAAACUGAGGAAACAUAGGAGCACAUACUAACACGCAAAGAGGUAAUAGAAGAGAUGAGAUGGAAAGGAAAGAUCAUGGUAAUUACGACGGAUAUCAGAAGUGAGGAAAACUGGAACUAUGAGGACACGAUGUGCAAAACGUUUCAUCCACAGGAGAACACUGUUGGAAAAAUAAAACAAUGUAAAAAGAGCCUUGCACACUAAGACAAAGACUUUGGAGAGUGCUUACCGACAAAGGCAAAAAGGGCAUUGCAAGAUCAAAAGAACCAAAAAACACCAUUAAGAGCCGGCUGGUGCCAAAUAACAUGGCACCAUGACACCAUGGCACCAACCAUAGAUCUGCCUUUAAGCUGUAACUUUUUUUAGCUGAUAAUCUUUGUCAGAAAAUCUGGCAAAAGUUUAUUUAUGUCAAUAAUUUUUUAUCAUUUCAUUGCAGAGGUAGGCCGUGAACGACUGUGCAGAAGGUAUUAGCGAUCUUGCCACAAAUGGUUGCGGAGACUUUUUGAUUUCUUCUUUUUUUUUACUUUUUUAUUGAAUGUUUGUUCUUUCAACUUUAUUUCAUAAAAAAUUCAAAUAAUGGUUGUGAUUACCUCCGUAGCAGCAAUAAAAUGAUUGUAAAAUCAUUUAAGUGACUUGUCAUUAAAUAAUCCUGUCAUCAUUUUUCUUUAAAAAAAUAUUCAAACUGCAAUUUCAAUCACAAAAAUAUUUCACAAAAAUUUCUGUUCAUGCCUCUUAUUCCCAAAAAUAAAUUUUGUGAAAAUUUCUUACUUUUGAUAUUGAAUCUAACUAUCAACAUAAACAGUUUACAUGAAAUUUCAAAUGCAAGCUAUCAAUUCUGUGUAUCGUGUAUCACAAACACAAAUAGAUUGGUGGCCACAUUCAAAUAUCUAUUCCAAGAAUUUUUUUGACCUUUUUGCAUGAGUACUAAAAUUAUAUUGAUGAUUAUACGAAGCAGUUUGGCUGUGUUGGCUCAGUUGUAAGGUUAGCCCGUUUAAAAAAAAAAUCAUAUUUAUUGGAAAAGUCAUCCCAAGAAAUGACCUAUACUGGUUUCGGGUUGAAAAAAAAUGUACUUUCCUUUUUAAAAAAAUCACAUCCAAGGUCUAAAUAAAAUAAUUUAAAAUUGUUCGCGAGUAUUUGAAGUAUCAAUGAUUUGGUAAUUCAAAUAUAAGAUGUUUCGUUUUUUACCUAUUAGCAGUAACUUUACUUAAAACAUAUGUGAAAAAAUUAUAAGUUUUCUUUUUUUAAAAGUUUUCACAAAAAAAAUCACUUUUAUUUUUAUACUCGGAGCUUUCUUAAUCCAUAACAGUUUACUUUCUCUUUUCAAUUCUUAAUAAGAGCAAUAAAAGAAAGAUCUACUUAAACAAUAAGAACUCAUGAUAGCUACAAACUACAUCAUAAGAGACUGGCCACGUAAGUAAGUUUCAGAUUAAAAUGCAGUUGAAACAUAAAAAAAGUUUUUUCCAAACUUAAAUAAGUUCUUUGGAGUCAUCAUUAAAUUCAAUUUCUUUUCAGGAUUAGAUCGGCUUUCUCAAUUUGUGCUAACUCAGGAAUUAAAUUACGUGCCCACAAACAAUAAGUCAAAUUAAAAAAUUAGCAUGGUGGCACCAAGUGAGCUGACAACUCUAUAUUUAAAUUGCGUCAGAGUGGGGACUCGAACCUGAAACGUUAUGAUUACAAGACGAAUGCACUACCACUACACCCUCCGCUUAAAUGGUUAAUUGGUUAAGGGUGGGUGGGUAGGGUUGUUUUUGGGUAAAAACAAGAAAGAGAUAAGCACGUAUGUUUCAAAAUGACAUAGUUGGUUGAAGAAACUUUAAUUCUUAUUUCUGCAUUGUUUUUUCUGACGUUUUUAAUUAUUUUAAUAAGACAUUCUAAAAUUGUUCUUAGUUUUUAACCAAGCUAUGCUACAGUGUUUUUUACUUACUUGAAUUUUUCGAAAUAUUAAAAGACCUUCGGACCUUUGAGCUCUAUAUACAAUUUCAUAUUGUAGUGUAUUUAGCUAACUUAAAGGGUUGGAAUUUUGGCACAAAACAUGAUGAGGUUUCCUUAGUUAAUACAAAGAAAAGGGUUCAUAAAUAUUGCCCCUACAACAAAGUAUCUGCGCUUACGUGUCUUUUCUCUACUUGUAGGCUACAUUGACCGUGUUUAUACUGUUUAAAAAAAGAAUAUUUACUGUUGUUGACUGUUGGCUUUGUGGUAGAGUGUUUGCACCCAGUGGGAAGGUCUUAGGUUUAAAUUCUAGCCGAGUAAUAACAAUAACAAUAACAAUAACAAUAACAAUAACAAUAACAUUAAGAUUAAGAUUAACAUUAACAAUAACAAUAACAAUAACAAUAACAAUAACAAUAACAAUAACAAUAACAAUAACAAUAACAAUAACAAUAACAAUAACAAUAACAAUAACAAUAACAAUAACAAUAACAAUAACAAUAACAAUAACAAUAACAUUAUCACUUUCUUUUUUUAUUCAAGAAAUCUGUAGUUCUUGUAUAUCUAUUUCACUGUCUUUGCAAGUAAGAUAUUUAUGCCGUAAACAUCUCUCUCCCCGAAAAUGGAUGGGUUUAUGGCUAUACAUGAAACGAAAGAAUAAGUCAAAGUUUUGUUUCUAUUUUAUUUAGAAUGCCAUGAAUUACAAGAAUACAGACAAACAUAAUCUAAAUAACAUAAAGUUUGUUGCAUAAAAAAAUAUUUUUACUGUUAAUAUUUCAUUUUCAAAUGCCCACGCAUAAUUUCAGCAAAGUUGAAUAAAUAAAAUCGUGAUAAUACACCUUUCCCGAGACUUAUUCUUUUGAUGUGCUGCAACUUUUUCUGUUGAGUUUUAUGAAAAACGGACAACAGAUUUGAAUUCCUUAUCAAAAAUGUCAUAAACAAACAAAAUUUCGAAACAAUGCAGCAAGUAAACAACCUACUAUUCUAAUUUAAAGAUUUGUGGCAUGUCCAACCUCUUUUUGAAAACGAGGCGGGACAUGGUAGCUUGAGCAUUAAGAAGACUUUAACUGUGAUAUAUAUCCCCUAAAAAUAGCACUUUCUGUUGGCGUAUCAAGUUAAACUUUUACAUAUAAAUUAAACAAACUAUGCUGAAUUCAAAUAUGGUAUUCAUAUUUUACAAGUUUAAAAAAAGUAUGACUCAUGGUCUCGGGAAAGGUGUAUAAAACACAACGCAGCACUUAGGCAUCGUCUAAUGGAAACAUUGUCAAAUUCUGACAAGAAUGUUCAAAUAAUUAAAAGAAUAGGGUGUGAAUUGCACGCUUCAAUAUGUUUUAAAUAUUUUAAAACGAAAUCAGAAAUAUUAUUUGUAAUCAUUUAAACUGAAGGUGAAAGAAGCAGUGUCGUCGAAAGUAGCUAAAGUAAGUUUUUUUAACUUUCUUUAUUUCGAAUACUCUUUCUCUCAACAUCCCAUGUCUGAACAUAUAUUUUAAUCCGUCGCCUGUUUUUCUGUCCCUAUAUUUUUUCACUAACCUCCUUUGUUAAACUCUAUUUCGUAUAACUUUUCCAGUCCCUUUGCAAGUUCGAGAUAAGAAGAGUCGACUGUAUUCGAUUUCUUUGAUCUACUGCAAGCUAUUCCUUUUAAUUUUACAUAAAGUAAAUAUGAGUUAAAAUCUUUCAUAAAACAUUGAUAUAUUCUUAAAGAGAUUCCUGCCUCAAAAAUGAAUUUUUUACAUGUUGUGGGGAAUAAAAAGUUGUUUAUCAAGUUUUUUGGAAUUUUUAAAAUAUCUUUUUUCGUUCUCAAGAUAAUAAGCUUCAAAGAUUUCCAGCUGAGCUUUUGAUAUGAUCAUUGAUGAUGUAUUAGCUAAGGUGGUAGGCAUAAAUUAUUAUUUGAGAUAUCUUGCAAAUUUACUUAAUAUCUCAACUUUUAAGCAGUGUGGACUUAUGCGUUUGAUGAUAUCUUGGUAUGUGCAAAGUAGAAAUGUGAUGUCAGCAUUUUUUAAAACGUACUUAUGACAUCAUAAGAAUAUUUAAAAUCUUGAGUAAUUUGAGAACUGAAAGGAUUUUAAAAAAAUUCCACAGGGCUUGAUAAAUAUGCAGUACAAAGAACGGACAGAAACUCUCUUUACUUAUUUUCUGUAUUCAGAGGAAGUGAUAGUGUAUCUACAUUCUAAAGCUAAGGGCGUUAGAAUAGUUGUUAGAAUAAUGUAAUUGAACGUGCCUAUCUAAAUGUCUUAAUAAUUUUCUUUAACAAACACUAGCUUUUUCUUGGAAGUUUUAAAGAAUGAAUAACAUAGCUGCAGAUCUCUGAACUUCUUUUAACUAUACAGAACUAUUAUUUAACUGUUAUGCUAUUACAAUGUCAAUAAUAGGUCUGGUGAACUAAACUCAUCAUUUUUCUCUUUUUGAUAUGUAAAUUCCAAAUACUGAAUGUUUGUUUUUAAAAAAACAUUCUCACAGCGAGGUGAUAGUUUGUUGCAGUUUGCACGUGUUUUACCUGUGAAUGAUAAACCCGCUCAACAAAAAUCAAAAACGUUCUUUAGGAGAAAAUAACAAAACAUAUAAUCGUAAGUUCAGUAUUUAAAAAAGAUGGCUUUCAGAAAAGAAAGUAAAAGUGAAUAAUAGCUCGUUUAAAUCUUUUUUAUCGUAGAAUUUUCUAAUUUUACUUUUUCUACAUUUUUCUUUUUUACAUUUUCUAGUUUGUUCCUAAAGUUAUUACUUUAGGAACAAACUUUUCCAUUCAGAAAUUAACCAAUGAGGGAAUACUGUAAUUGUUUACUCAAAGUUUAAAAGUUAAUAAUAACCGUGUAUUUCAAUGUACGAAUAUUUUAUUUUAUAAAAUUUGAAAUUAAGUAUCCAUACAGACACCUGCCAGAACUUCGCGCUGUGUUUCAAUAGAAUCUAGUUGUUUCUUCUUCUGUAUUUCUUCCUCCAAGAUUUAACUAAUCUGAAAAGAAUGCUCAAAUAUUAAAAAAAAUGCUCAAAAAUAAUUUUUUUCGCUUGAUUUUUCUUUUUGUUUUUGCACUGAACAUCCUUACUAAGUAUUCGAAGAAAAAAAAACAAGAAUGGAUUUUUUGAUUUUAAAAUAUUUUUAAAAACAAUUAAAAUAUUUGAAAAUGAUUUAUCAAUUCCUGAGUUAUUCCAUACAUUGUUAAGCUUUAAAAACAAAAAAAAAUAAUUAGUCUAUUUUAUAAAAGUACAUUAUCUAACAUCGAGUUGGAAAGGCAAGUGUUUCAAUCUUUUUAUGUCUGUUACAUCAUGACAUCAAAAUUGUCUGCAACCUUUUGUAUUCACUUGUGCAUUCGAAAGAUUUAAUUUAAAAUCUAAUUUCGACAAUUUUAUAAUUGUCGAAAUUAGAUUUAGAAAUUGCCACCAGUUAAAUGCGUGUACUCUUAGGGCCAUUUGAUUUUCAAUUUAAUUGAAAAUUGAAAAUCAGAAAUAAUGGCUAAUUUUGAUUUUUAAUUUAAUUUGAAAAUCAAAAAUCAAAAUUAUUUAAUGAUUUUUGAAUUUCAAUUUAAUUUGAAAAUUGAAAAUUUAAAGUUUAGAACUCAAGAAAGAUCAAAAAACAAUAAUUGAAAACUCAAAUUCAAAUUUUUCUUUUCAAUUUUAAGUUUCAUUACGCACGCGACACAUCGGUUAAACGUCAAACCAGUCUCAUCCCCAGGCGUCCUGGGUUCUUGCCUAGGGACAUGGUCAAAAUAAAGGGCGAGAUUCAUAUCAAACCUGUCCUUCUAAAUCAGACUUUAUUACAUCCGAAUGUUAAUCGGAAAUUUAAAAUAUUAUACCAAUAAUAGAUCGUCAUAUAUUGUGUUCAAUAAGAGACUGUCGAUGAAUGUCAACAAAUGUUCUAAACCAAAAAGAAGAUUUAAAAAGAAUAAAUAAUAAUAUUGCUUCUGAUUGGUGUAGUUACAUUUUUUAAAUUUCUCCUAUAAAAUUAAGGGACUCUGAAAAUAUUUGAUCUUAAACACUUCUUAGAAUAGCAUAAACUUUUAUUUCCAGAUCUUUUUUAACAAAAGAAAUCUAAGAGAAUAGACGCAUAUCAAGCAAAAGUCAAUUGAAACGAUAUUGGUAAUAAAAAGAAAAUAUCUGCCUGGCAGUCUCAGGACUUCCUGAAAACUUUGGACACCAAUUUCAGCUCCUUAUGAAACGCUCCUAAUAAAAAAACUCUAUGCAGGAGUGCAGUGGGUUGGUUAAAAAGAACCUGUUGGUUCAUUGCAUCAUAUUUGAUCGCGAAGAAAAAAAGAUUUUUAAUUUUUGAUUUUUAAUUUUUGAUUUUCAAUAUUCAAAUAUUCAAAUAUUUUAAAAUAUUUGAAUUUUAGUUUAUAAAUUUUGAAUUUCAAAAUAUAAAAGUUUAAAAAACAUGAAUUAGUACCAAAAUUUUGAUUUCUGAUUUUCAAUUAAAUUGAAAAUCAUAUGGCCCUAAGGGUACACGCAUUCCAGUUAAAUCCAUAAUUGUAAAAGCGGGAAUGCACGGUGAAAAUGUAUCUUAAAAAAACAUUCGAAACAUUUCUUUCUAAACUUUUUUGUUUUCGCGUGUUGUAAAAGUUUACGAUUGUUACCAAUUGAACAGUUACAUUUUUCUUGUCUUGAAAGAAAGACGGCUGGUAAUAAUUCAAAGCCGCACCAGUUCAUUGUAAACAAGAUUUUUAUGCAUUUCUAGCUUCGUGAGAAGGAAAAUGUGCGAAGAUGGAAAGUAAAAAGAGAUUUUAAACAGAAUUGUGUUUUUCUUUUUUUCACGUUUUUCUGCUUGUUUUAAAUUUCAAUUAUUUUUGUACAAGCUUUUGCGCUUCAACUUCAUUUUUAAGGGCCUGGUUAUGUGGCACAAAUUCGUAAAACCAACCUUAUGCUUGGUCUAGUUGUACUUAUUAAUUACAUGCGUUUGCUGAGGUGAAAUUUCGGAUCAGGGUGAUUUCACCCCUGUCUUUAGCAUAGGAGCUCCGGGGAGAAAAGCGUACAUAUUAUAGGAGUAAAUACGCAAAACCAUGCUGAAGGAAUGUUUUUCUAUCGCUCAUGUGCUAGUAUAUUUUACUAAUUCUUGAAGUUGUUGUGCUGCCCGCGUGUUCCACGUAAGUGAUUUUAUAAAAAAUUUUACUUUCACCCCGCGGUGAACUUAUACGUUUUUCACCCUGGCGUGAGUUGACUAUGUAAUUCAAUUUCACCCCUCUCGCAUGUAACCAUACACUUACUUAUCUCCAGCAACAAUUAAUUUUAAAAUACACACGUGCAAUAGGAAAAUAAAAAUUUCGAAACUUUUUUUAAAUGUUUCCAAAGAAAUAUUUCACCGUGUAUUCCCAUCUUAAGAAAAACUAUUCUAAACAUUUAGUUUUCUUCUUAUAUAAGUGCAACAAUAUAACUUAUUUCGUGUUGUCAAAUGAUUAGUUAAGUAACAUUGGCGUUGUUAACCGCCUGGAUUUUGCAAGUGGGCAAUACAAGCUUUUAGGCUUUCUGAUUGGCUUAGCGCACUUGCCGACGGGCUGUUAUAAAACAGUUUGAAACAGUAUUUUCUGUCGUCAAGAAGAAUGGUAGCUUAGAAUGUAGACAAGCACGAACACAAAUUUCAAGUAUUGGGAAUUAUUUUUAUCCAAUGCCUGGGUAUAUUAUCACAUUAGUACCAACCAGGUAAUAACUUGUUGCAGUAUUUUUUCUUUUCUUUUAGGCAAUAAGGAUGUGCAAGAAACUUGCCUUCUUUUUAUUGAUUGUCUAUGUAAGUCAUGUGUAUACUGACAUGCAAGAGGAAGCAGAUAAAGCUUGCAAAGAAAGACCAAAAUUUUACGAAGAGACGAUUAAGGUAGUAAAUGCUGUUGGUGCUGCAUUGGGAAUGGUUGUGGGUGACGGUAGAGUGUUCAAUAAAGCCCAUGUUAUCCCUUCUGACGCGAUGCGUACAAUGAUUUGCGGUGAGUUUGCUGGCUUCCAAGACGAUGAUGAAAGAGUGAGUGGAAGAGUGGUAUCACUGAUCUACUAACGCAACUGCAUACGAUUGAUCCAGAAUGGAAGGAUCUCGACACUUUGCAAUCAGAUGAAGCCUGGCCAGCUUUUGUAAAGCAAAAUAAUGAUAACAAGAAAAAAUGCAUCGUUAUCCUUGGAAAGUUUAAAAAUAAAGAUACCCGACCUGACUUAGAAAUAGCGAAAAACUUAGCAGAACUAUAUAGAUGUUUAAAUAGUUCUCCAGCGAAUUUAAGAGUAGGAUUCUCAAGAACCAACAGUGCUGUGUCAAACGCGUUGGAUCCAGUUUUAGCUAGAUCAGUUGAAAACGAUGAUGAAGUAACAUUUGAAGAUUUGACUUCAAAAUCGAAAAAGUAUCAAGACAAUUAUGGGGAGAAGUAUGGGUUGGUAUUUAAGGAGUAUGCUGAUGGUGGAAUUAUGACAUCUGAUCAACCGUAUCGUGGAUAGAGCAAAUAAAGACCCAUCGAAGACAAGAUUGUCAGCGUUGUUACCUUUAGUAAAAAUAUGUUAUUUACGUAGAUUCGUACUUAUACUUACGUUAAUAGGACUCUAGAAUGGGUUGUAAAAUAAACGAUUUUUUUAAAUGGAGUAAAUAAA